AUGGAAACGUGGAUUAACACCCCAUAGUACUUUUAUCCUGCAUGGGAUGUGAGUUAAAUGUUUAAGGUAUCGGAUGGGCAUGCGUCCUAUUAGUUAGUUGGCGGGGUAACAGCCCACCAAGACGAUGAUAGGUAGGGGUUCUGAGAGGAAGGUCCCCCACAUUGGAACUGAGACACGGUCCAAACUCCUACGGGAGGCAGCAGUGAGGAAUAUUGGUCAAUGGACGAGAGUCUGAACCAGCCAAGUCGCGUGAGGGAAGACUGCCCUAUGGGUUGUAAACCUCUUUUAUAAGGGAAGAAUAAGUUCUACGUGUAGAAUGAUGCCUGUACCUUAUGAAUAAGCAUCGGCUAACUCCGUGCCAGCAGCCGCGGUAAUACGGAGGAUGCGAGCGUUAUCCGGAUUUAUUGGGUUUAAAGGGUGCGUAGGCGGUUUAUUAAGUUAGUGGUUAAAUAUUUGAGCUAAACUCAAUUGUGCCAUUAAUACUGGUAAACUGGAGUACAGACGAGGUAGGCGGAAUAAGUUAAGUAGCGGUGAAAUGCAUAGAUAUAACUUAGAACUCCGAUAGCGAAGGCAGCUUACCA
rnacentral:rRNA from 1 species